rnacentral:ncRNA from 1 species
CCACAUCUUCACCGAACAGUCUACUGUAUUCAGCGUGAUCCUCUUUCCUCCGGAAUGAGGCUAGAUCUGAGGGUAACACGCUCUCCGUCCGCUCGGUGCGAGCGAAAUGGGAUAUAUAUUUAUUAUAUAGUAAAUUAAAAAAUAAUUUUGAUUGAAGAAACAAGAACCUCCUUGUAAAAUAAAAUACUUUAAAGUAAUCAAUAGCGAACUAGUACCGUAAGGGAAAGGUGAAAAGAUCCUCGUAAGCGAAGUGAAAAGAACGUGAAUUUUUUAUCUUACAAUCUAUAGAAGGGUUAAAGAACCUAACUAUAAUGCCC